rnacentral:rRNA from 1 species
UGGUGGAGUGAUUUGUCUGGUUAAUUCCGUUAACGAACGAGACCUCGACCUGCUAAAUAGUUCGCAUCACACUUCGGUGUGUUGACACAACGUGACUUCUUAGAGGGACUAUCGGUGUGUAGCCGAUGGAAGUUCGAGGCAAUAACA